rfam:Myotis brandtii contig225578, whole genome shotgun sequence.
UGUGCACCAGCGGGGUCCCUUGGCCUGGCCUGCACCCUCUCGCAAUCUGGGACCCCUCAGGGGAUGUCAGAGAGCCGGUUUAGGCCCUAUUCUGCAGGCCAGGCCAAGGGACUCCACUGGUGCAUG